ACUUCAGCAGUCAUCACAAGCUGCAAAGCAAGUAGUAGCAGACAGACGAAAAUGGCGAUUUUGCCAACCUCGUUGCACCAAACAAGAAGUGAUUUUCUCCAAAGCAAUCCCUAUUCCUUCAGCAUGCCUUCGAAGCCAACACGCCGCUUCGCCCGCCAUCCGUUUGUUAUUACCUUUUCUAACAAACCCAGGAGCGAAAUUGUUGGUAAUGACAAGAAAAGGGAGUUCCUUGAGAAGUACGGGCUUAAUCCAGAUGAGUUCUUACCUAAACAAUCUCGAAAGACGAAGAGGAGAGGGGAGCAAGGGAAUUCAGAGAAGAAAAACAAUACACCGGUGCAGGAGCCGAAGCCACUACGAGAGACUCACAAAUUGCUUCAGGUACUCGGGGGAACAGCUCGGAGGAAAAAAUUGCUCUCACCAAAGAGUAUGGAUGUGCGGCCUAUGAUGGAAGUUGUAAAGGGAGCAGCUUUUUCGAUUUUACAGGCAGCGGGUGGCUCGCCUCAGUCUCUGAGGCCCGGGCGCUGGUUAGACUUGUACAGUGGCACGGGAUCUGUUGGCAUUGAAGCUAUCAGCAGAGGAUGCUCUGAGGCCCACUUUGUGGAGAUGGAUCCUUGGGUUAUCUCAGAUGUACUGCAGCCUAACUUAGAAUCAACUGGAUUUCUCGAGGCUUCAGUUAUACAUACUGCCCGUGUUGAAACAUUCUUGGAAAAUGCACAGCGAUAUCUAGGGAAAGAAGCGGAAUUUGAUUAUAUAAGUGUUACUCCUCCAUACAUGCUUGUUGAUUACGCAGUUCUGAUGGACCAGAUUUCUAAUUCCUCAGUUGUCGGGGAGAAUACAUUUGUUGUAGUUGAGUAUCCAUUGAGAACUGACAUGCUAGAUUCAUGUGCGAGCUUAGUAAAGAUAGCUGAUCGGCGGUUUGGCCGGACACAUUUAGCAAUAUACGGACCACAGUGGGCACAAAAGAAGAGUAAAUCAGAGACGUGACUGUCAUAAUUGCACAAACGGUCUGAGAUGGAAACGGUUGCUUGGUUAGAAAUUUGUAUGUUUUCUGAUGAGUUCGAUCACGUUGCACCUGAUUCGUCAACUUGCAAUGCAAGUGCAGCGUAUGCUCCCAGAUCAAAUAUGGCCGAAAUUCAGCUGUUACACUUCAUGGGAUGAUGUUACGUACGUUGGCACUAUCUAUGCUCGUCUUGUAAAUUGAGUUUUUACAAGUCGACAAGAUGUUUUGAGCCAACUAUAUGAGUUGCAUAGAGCAAAGCUUCGUGGUUUUUGCCUUGAAUUCUGACGAUUCUUUUUGGUGUUGAAACUGUGAUAUUUUGUUGAGACGGUACACUAUUCUUGGAUGCUCAAGUCAUGAUCCGAGGUUCCAGAGCUUAGGACAAAUGUUGUAAAGCAGGAGUAGAAAAGAGGGACAUCUAUUUUGUUUGAACGCGGAUCUGGACCCAUAUUUCUGUUAAAACUUCGUGCCAUCCUUAACCCCCCUGGCUACUUUUUGUUGUUAGUAACUGUAUGAUACUUGAGUGUGAUCACAGGGACUCCUUAACUCCAAGUGAACAAAAGAAAGCAGGUUUAUGAUGCCUGAAGAUGUGUGGAAUCUGCAACCACUACAGUCGAAAGGUGCAUAUUCUUGGUCUCAUAUUUCAUGGUUUCAUGCUUGACUCGAUUCUCUCUUUUGCCUCUCAUCUUUGUAAAAGGAUAUACUUGAAUUGGUACAGCACCCUAAUCUGUUAAUACAUGAUGAAUAAUACGGGGAUAAAUUCGAUGAAUAUGUUUGCUCGAAACACCGUUCAUCUGAACUUGCUUUUGGAUCUUUCAUUUGAAUGAGAAUCAACACUUGAAGUUUUAGAUGUUGCUUUUAAGGACCACACAGAGUGUAGGUGCCGUUUGCUUGACAGUUACCACUUUUAGUUAAAAAGGAAAAGAAAAUAUUUGUUGUAAGAAAAGAAAAGCAAAUUUGUUUAUUGGAUGUGAGUGACUAUUCACAUCUUAAUUCAGUAAGUUGCAUCAUAUUGCUGUAAUGAGUAUCUCUGCCUGUUCCAUUAUUCAUGCCACAUUUUACACAAACUUUAAAUAUGUAUUCCUAAAAAAUUACAUAAUAUUUUAACUUCUUAAAUAUUGUGUCCGAAGAAAUAUGUCAUAAAUAAUGAGACGAAAGAAGUACUAAUAUUUAUUCAAAAAUCAAUCCAUAUCUAAAAUUUGAUGAUCCUUGAUUCCAAAAUCUUUGCUCCAAACAAUGUUUCAAAUUGCUUUUGGAUCUUUUGAAUCAAAAGGAAAGAUUGAAGCUGUAGAUUUUGCUUUUUAGGACCACAAAGAGAGCGAACCCUUGUUUUUGGGCAUGCAUAUAUGAAUAGUGUGAUGCAAUCGAGAUGGAGAUAAAGUUACUCCAUUUGCGUUAGGAUUACUGCAUAAAGUUAGAAAAUGCGUGAUUAAAUUGGAAUCGUUGGUUCGGUUUGGAAUUGGGCCGGUGUUACUAGUUUUUGAACCAUAAUCAGCUAUGAUGGGCUAAAUCAAAACCGGCAUAUCGAGUUUACCGGUGUGGUUUCAGCUACACAAUUAUUGAACCGGAAAUCGGUGUUAAUCAAGUCGUGAACGCCAACCUCUAACAUUGCAUACGCUAGCCCAUCGUGGUGCCUAGAAAUUACAAACUUCUUCGUUAUAAUUUGUUUAGUUCUCCUUGUUAGUUCUUACACAUGGAUUCAGUUCUCGUUUUUGGGUAGAUCCUCAACCGUUUAAAUAGGGUUUCCAGUGUGACUAACGGAUCUUCAUGACAAAUUCUAUGAUGUCUCGUGGCGAAGAUUGAACUCUUGCAUUUCUCCUAUUUAGAAGUUUAUUUAUUUGCACUCCGUACUACUUAAAAUCGAAACCAGCGGGAAGCUUGCCGGGCUGGUGACAAAGCCCUCUUAUUUUCGAAAUUGAAGGCUUGUACUAAAAGGUGUAGACGGACACAAAAUAACGGUAUGCAUAAAUAUUUUGUUGUAUAAAAACAUUAUGAAUGUGACAUAUUUCUACCUGCAUUUAUUCGCCUAAGAUUGUAACAUGGAAGGAGACAGUGUGACAGGAAGGAAUAACAUAGAAAAAGCUGGUUCAAAUUUCAAUUCAAACUUCUGUUUCACGACUCGAUUUGUAUUCACCUCUGCAUGUGAGUUCUUCAUCAUUUUAGUUAAUAAAAUACUUACAUAUCUGUUGUACUA